GAGGGUAUAGCUCUGUGGUACAGCGCAUGCCUAGCAUGCAUGAGGUCCUAGGUUCAAUUCCCAGUACCUCCG
rfam:Camelus ferus unplaced genomic scaffold scaffold1413, whole genome shotgun sequence.